rnacentral:rRNA from 1 species
UACGGAGGGAGCUAGCGUUGUUCGGAAUUACUGGGCGUAAAGCGCGCGUAGGCGGCUUUGUAAGUUAGAGGAUGAAGCCCGGGGCUCAACCCCGGAACUGCCUUUAAAACUGCAUCGCUUGAAUCCGGGAGAGGUGAGUGGAAUUCCGAGUGUAGAGGUGAAAUUCGUAGAUAUUCGGAAGAACACCAGGUGGCGAAGGCGGC